rnacentral:rRNA from 1 species
UAAACCGUGCCAGUGACAAGCGGACAGCGUUGCUGGCACGGGGUUGUGGGACUUCCAUUAGCGGAUUGUCAUAAUGCUUAAGCCGCAUAUGUGUAAGUGGAACCAGCUGGGAAGCUGGACCGAAGAAGGUGAUAGUCCUGUAGAACAUAAAGCAUAUGCUGCGACUGGAAGCACCCGAGUAGCGUCAGGCACGAGGAAUCUGGCGUGAAUCAGCGUGGACCAUAUCACGCAAGGCUAAAUACUGCUGUUGACCGAUAGUGAAGAGUACCGUGAGGGAAAGGUGAAAAGAACCCUGAGCAAGGGAGUGAAACAGAAUUUGAAACCGUGUGCUUACAAACGGUAGGAGCACUUUAUGUGUGACUGCGUGGAUUUUGGUUAAUCAUCCUGCGAGUUAUGGCUGGUGGCAAGGUUAAUAGAACGGAGCCGAAGGGAAACCGAGUCUUAACAGGGCGACAAGUCGCCAGCCAUAGACGCGAAACCUAGUGAUCUAGGCCUGUCCAGGCUGAAGCUGAGGUAAGACUCAGUGGAGGGCCGAACUCACCGCCGUUGAAAAGUUGGGAGAUGAGAUAGGUCUAGGGGUGAAAAGCCAAUCGAACUAGGAGAUAGCUCGUUCUCUCCGAAAUGCAUUUAGGUGCAGCCUUGGCAUGAAGAUAUGCGGGGGUAGAGCUCUGUAUGGUCUAGGGGGCGUACUGCUUACCGAAAUCAAGCAAACUGCGAAUACCGCAUAUUAAUAGCCAGGAGUGAGUCCGUGGAUGACAAGGUCCGCGGACGAGAGGGGAACAGCCCAGACCGCCAGCUAAGGUCCCUAAUUAUGUCUAAGUGGGAAAGGAGGUGGAUAUUCACAGACAACCAGGAGGUUGGCUUAGAAGCAGCCAUGCCUUGAAAGAGUGCGUAAUAGCUCACUGGUCGAGAGUAUCUGCGCCGAAGAUAUAACGGGGCUAAGACAUGAACCGAAGCUGCGGAAUUAGGUUAAACUAAUUGGUAGGAGAGCGUUCUGUAGGCUGUAGAAGGAGUGCUGUAAGGCAUUCUGGAGGCAUCAGAAGUGAGAAUGCAGGAAUGAGUAGCGAGAAGGAGGGUGAGAAUCCCUCCGGCCGGAAGUCCAAGGUUUCCAGGGGAAGGUUUGUCCGCCCUGGGGGAGUCGGGACCUAAGCAUAAGCAAAAAUGUGAUGGCGAAUGGAAAACAGGUUAAUAUUCCUGUACCGCUGUUAUCGCCUGAGAGACGGAGUGACGCAGGAAGGUAUGCGGGAAGGCUGACGGAAUAGCCUUUCUAAGGGCGUAGCAUGGGCAUGCAGGAAAAUCCGCAUGCCUAAAUGUGAGACCUGACGGGUAAGUGCAUCUUGCAUAAGCCGCAGAUCCUACACUGCCGAGAAAAACUUCUAUCGAUGAGAACCAGCGCCCGUACUGUAAACCGACACAGGUGGACAGAGUGAGAAACUUAAGGCCGACAGGAUAACUCUAGCUAAGGAACUCUGCAAAAUGGCCCCGUAACUUCGGGAGAAGGGGUGCCUGACAUACCUGAAGGGAGAGACGCCCUGAGGGGAAACAGGCCGCAGUGAAGAGUCCCAAGCAACUGUUUACCAAAAACACAGGUCUAUGCUAAGCUGAAAGGCGACGUAUAUGGGCUGACACCUGCCCAGUGCCGGAAGGUUAAGAGGAGGGUUGAGAGACUCAAAUUGAAGCCCCGGUGAACGGCGGCCGUAACUAUAACGGUCCUAAGGUAGCGAAAUUCCUUGUCGGGGAAG